ensembl:lncRNA novel transcript, antisense to THSD7A
AGCUGAUCAAGGAGAGAAGAUAAGGCAUGGAUAUUCAGUUUAAAAUGGUAGAGAACCAUAAUAAUACCUACCUUGAAGUGAUGAUAUAAACUACAUGACACAGAGUACUUGCUUCACACAGUGUUGGAACACACAGAGCUGCCACCUGGAAAUCCCUGCUCAUCUAAGGGUUGCAUCUAGACUCUGUAAUGUAGAACAGGAGUCAGAAAUGGCUUUCACAUGAAAAAAUCAACAACAACAAAGCCUCACAAAAAACAAACAAAAAAGAAAUGGCUUUCGCUAAGCUGAAAUCAAGGUAUCAGUAGUGUAUUUUGAGAAUUGCAAUGAGAAGAAAAGAUGAAAAAUGCAAUUUUAAGAAAGUUUCUACAAACUCGAGUUAAUGCAUAUAGGACUGGUUUUGAUCUGAGGAGAUCUGCUUCAAUUCUUAGUGAAGGUCAAAAUUGCUACUGGUUGUCUGCUAGUCCAUUGUCUUAAACACUGAGGGAAGAGUUUCCCAUGCUUACACAGAUAAGUCAGCUUUGCAAAAUAAAUCAUACUAUCAGCUAAAUAAGCCAAUUAAAGCAGGAAUAAUGUGAUUAAAAGCAAAUCACCCAAACACUUAAAAUAUCUUAAAAAUCCAAUAUUUAUUCUCCAAUAAGGGAAAGUAUUCAGACUUAAUGCAUAGAAAUGGAGAUGUGCUAGCUAUGCAG